GAGAAUGAGGGCACUUUAAAAGUUUACCAAGCUUUGAAAGCACAGCCUGAAUUAAUGUCUCUAACAAGGUGUUUUCAGGUGGCUCACAGUCUACAGAAGAUCUGUGAUUCUGUAUCUUUUUAUAUGACUCCGUUUGACUUAUGUUUGUUAACGGUGGGAUGCUGGCUUCAUGUUCAACACAGGAUUUCUGCUGCUGGGGAUCUGGAAUUGGAUUGUUUUCUGCUUUUGCAGCACUGUGUUGGUCAGCAUUUUGACAGCGUUCUUCUGUGUUAGCUGUUUCUUGGCUGUUAGCAUCUAUAUUCUGUGCUGUAUCAAACUCCUGCUCAGCAGAAUCGUCCAAAAAUUUCACAGGUGACAAAAACGUUUUGCCAGUGGUGGUGUGGACAGAACAGUUUUGAUGUACAGGGGAGUUCUGGGAAGACCUCAGUGGUGAUACUGCUCCUGACUGUUCACACAGGUCCAUUACGUCCUCUACAAAACCUGCAAGCCGCUUAGCGGUGGAGCAAUCCGGAUAGCCUGAGGAAAUAGUCAGGACCCAGAUGAACCUGUGCUGGAAUUCAGUGUGGGCUAGGGCCUAUUAUAUGCUGUAGCCUGAAGGCAGCUGAGUUGCAGAGGAUGGAGUGAUCACUGGCUUUCUACUUACAGGGUGGUGGGUCUCAGAGGACAAUUGCUACCCCUGUUGAAGUGAACAACGUGUGGAGUGCAACUGGCUUUGUGGCAUAGCUGGCUCUGGCCUUGGACUGUGUGUUUUUACUUUGUACCUAAAUGGGACACUGGACUUUUAACUAUUAUUCAUUGUGUUUAUAAAUAAAAUUUUAGAAUUUUAUUGACUGUCAUCUUUUUGCCCACCGCGGAGACGGUUGGUCAGACCUAGAAUCUCUUUAUGUGUGUGUGUGUGUGUAACAUCAGCAGGGUUUCGCAUAAAAGAGUGUGAGCAGGUCAAAAGGUCAAUUCAUUUAUUGUAGUUUUAUGGCAGCACCUUCUAGUGGCCUUGAAGCAAACAGUCUCCUAACUAAGCCAUGGCAUCUCCGGUCUCUCCUACUUUUGUGUGCUGUGCUGGAGGAGCAGCAUUGGAUCUAGUGAUACUGAGUAAGCUGAUUAGGACCGGCCUGGAGAAAUGUGGUUUGCAUGAAGUAUCAGGAGAAAAACAACCUUGUAUUGUAAAAUAAUAAUACACGAAUAAUAAAUACUUUUCAUGACAUUCAGAUUUCUGGACUCACGAGUUCAUAGAACAUUAAUGUUACGAAACAUUGAGAUAAGUCUUAAAACUACAUUGUAUACUUAUUAUUUAUUUACUUUAAUCAGAUUUGACUGGUAUUUUUAAACAUUAAGUUUUUGUUCCUUCAACUAUUGUAUUUAAGCUUAUGACUCACUCACAGUAUGUUUAUAUAACUGUCUAAAACAGUGAGGAUGUGGCCGCAGUGGCUGAGAAGCAAGAAGUUUGCUUUUUCUUUUUUUUUUCUUUUUUUUAAAUUGGGAAGCAUAAAUGAACAUACCAGAAAACCCUGCACGAAGGAGCCAUAUUUGUUUUUUGUGUGUGCAUAAGAUGAAGCUUUAGUAUUAUUACACAUAUGAUAAUGGUGUUAGCAUGCAACACACAAACUCAAGUGGUGUUGCCAAGAUAGUUGCUGACUGGCAAGAAACUUCUAGAAGAAAUCUGGUGACAGUCCAAAGCACAAAUGAACAUGUUUAAUACUCGUGCAAGACCCUGUGGGAAGGUGCCAGAUUGCUGUAUUUUGUGUGAAUCAGGAAAAGUGCACGGUGAUGACUAAAGCUUAUAAAACAUCUCUCUCCUUAUGUGUGCAUAUAUGAGAAAGAAAAUUCUGCCAAAGCAACUUUAGCUUCUUGCAAGCAUCAGUACACAAAGGAUGCUAACACAAAGCUAGCCAAGAACCAAGAGUGAUUUUAAAGUUGAACGUAUGCCGACCCCAGCAUCCAAAGGGAGCUCAGGGGAGAGCUUCUUGGGGUCCAGUGAUGUGUCCUGAAGAGACGACAUGAGCUCUCCCUCCUGUAGGCCCACCCCAGCAGUAGGUGCUGUCUGUCUCAUUCCGAGUUAACUGCUACUCCUCUACAUCUAAACGAGCCAGUUGAGGAGGUUCAGGCAUCUGACAAGGGUGCCUCUUGAGCGCCUCCUGGGUGAGAUGUUCCAGGCAUGUCCCACCAGGACAGACAGGACACACCCAGGACAUGUUGGGGAGAUCACAGCACUCAGCAGAGAAUGCCUCAGUGUCCCCCAAAUAAUGGAGGAGCUGGCUCGGGAGAGUAAGGUCUGGGUCUUCUCUGCUUAUGCUACUGCCACCGAAACUAGACACCAGGUAAGCUCAGAAAAAUGAACAACCUGUUUAAAUAAAGGUUAAUUUAAAAAAAAAUGUUUGUCAUUAGCUAGUCUGUGUACAUGUACUUCUUCUCCAGUGUUGAAAAUGUUAAACUCACAACCUGCACAUUUUCUGGUUGCAUCAUCAAAUAAAUACCCCCAAAAGUAGUCUGAGUACUUUUACACUGGUUUUAUGCUGCGAUAUUUUCAAAGUCUUUCACUGAACACAUUCAGUCACACAUUGUUCAUAAUUUAUUGGAAGUUUAUUGUUUAAUGUCCUGUCUAAAUAACUUCAGUCACCAUUUGUAUUCAUUAAUGAAUAACUGACUUCUAAUAUUAAAAGAAAUAGAAACUGUUGUGCUGUUGUUCACGUAGAAGGGCCUGCUUCUGGAUGUCCAGACUUUGUGCGUCAGUGGGAAGGUCAGGGUACAGGGUUCGAACCUCCUCAUGAGAUGUCGUAUCUGCUGGAUAAAAGCAAGCUACAUCACAUCAGGGAUUGUCCUAGAGCUGCCCUACAGUAACAAUCAACUGACUAAUAUAUGAAAUACUUGCAGUAGCACAAUAAUAAACACAAAGCAAAAAAAUG